GAUGGCUGUCUUAACAUCGACGCCAGCCCUGCUUGUUCACAUGUUCAUGGAUCUUUGCUCUGUGUCAAGAACAACUGGAGACAUUGAAGCCUGGAGAGGACGCCACUCUUCAGUGUCGGGGUUACAGAGGUGCUGUCAUCACAGUGAUAGAGUGGAGCAGAUCUGACCUGGAGCCAGAUGAUGGUUAUGUCUUCUACUUCAGAGAAGGUCGCUUGUAUGAAAACUACCAGCAUUCACUGUUUCGUGGUCGAGUGGAGCUCAGAGAUCCAGAAAUGAAGGACGGAGACUCUUCUGUGAUUCUGAAGAACGUCAGCAUCAACGACACUGGAACAUACGAGUGUCGGAUUGGAGAGGAAAACACAAGACGUAGAAAGAGAGACGCAGGCAAACCUGAUCCCAGCAGCAUCAUCAGGCUGACAGUGACAGAGCCAGGUCACACAGCUGGACACAAGGAGGGAGGAGACAAGGAGGGAGGAAACAAGGAGGGAAAUUUUGCACUGAAAAUUGGUCUGCCAGUUGGUGUGCUUCUUCUAAAUGGUGUUUUUCUUGUUAGUUUUAUGAUCUUUAGAAAACAUAACAGACAAACACACCAUAAUUCAUUCCAACAUCCUGCUGAACAGGAGAUAUAACUAUGACAAAAUAAUGAGGUAUAAUAAAAUACAUACAAAGCGACCUGGUUUCAAAAAUACUUUCAUUAAAUCUUAAAUUUGCUCUGAUGUUCUGUGUGUCUGUGUGUGAAUAUGGUGGCUCAUAGGUUUCAGGCCUAAUACAAAAGCCACAAAACAAAUUCAAAAACCACAACGGAAAUACAAAAGGCCACAACGGAAGUUGACAACGAAGAGACGCUUAGUAACAGUGGAUUACUUUCCGCAGAAUACAGCUACACAGCAGUACAGCGGCAGUGUAGCCAUCCCACAUUCAGGACGUAUUUACGCAUAAUAGCGUCUGCCAAAUUAGUAAAUGUAGGCUUACAUGGAAGAAGAACUUCUUACCCGUUUGAUAAAUAAGUAAUACUUUGUUCUGGUCAAAUAAUAUACAGCGGGAUAUUUGUGUGAAUUAAACAGCUAUAUAUAUAUAUAUAUAUAUAUAUAUAAUAUAACUAGCUAGUGUUGAAGUGCAACGACUUCCCGGAGUUGGUUGAUGAGGGAAGAACUGAGAGGAGUCUGAGAAGUCUGUUGAAUACCAAAUAUUUAUUAUAGAAAUACAAACAUAUCUGGAGACAUGCACAGCACAACGGCCUAACAGCAAGUCUGCGGUUCUUCAACCAAGCCUGAGUAUAUCUUCAGGAGACCGCACCCCUGCUGUAUCUUUUAGAGAUAUCCAUACAUGGUGAAGUCAGUUUAUGUAGCAUAUUCUAGUGCACCUUAACGUAUUAACUGUAUUAAGGAAAGUGUGAAGUGUGUCAGAGUGUAUUGCUAUCAGGGCCCGGUUUCCUAUCAUUGAGCACAAGCUUCUGACUGUCUUAACUGCUGAAUUAAUAAGAUAAGCAUGUUACACAAUAUUGAGUAUCAUAUGAGCAAUCAUAAGUAAUAAGUAAGCAUAUAAGAGAAUCAUAUCCUGCGAUAUCACUGUAGGGUUGUGUUGUAUAUCCACAGUUAACUAGAAAAUGUAUUGAUUGAAAAAGAUGUUUUAAUCGUAGCUUCUAAACUGUAAAACUUUGACAUUUAAAACUUCAGGAUGUGUUAAAGUACUAACUAAUGUUUUGUCUGAUCAUGACCAUGACACAUGGAACAAUAAACACAACUCGUCAUUAAAAUCA